UAUCCGCUGAUUGGUAUAAUUCAAGCAUGUGAUACGCGAAUAUGGUUCAUUGACAUCACUCCAUAAGUCAAACAACUCAACCUUGACACACGCCACAACAACGACAGACAACGGCCAUAUUUAAAUCUCUGCUUUCCCGCUCCAAGUUGAAUUGGAACAGAGCAGACCAACAUCACAAGAUCAAGCCAUUCGGAAAGAGUUUUGAAGAGCAGAAUCUCAAGAAUCUUCAUAAUAAUUCGUUUUAGAAGUAGCUAUCCGUUCACCAUGUUGAGUAUAUUUGAUGUCGUAAUGUCUCCAUGUAAAACCAUAAUCCAGAAAGCACGUGAGGUAUGGCCGGAAGUUUAUAUCCUAUGGUUUGCUAUGGUUGGUCAGAUUGUAAGCCUCGCCACACCCUAUUGGUCCAUAACAUCGUCUGGUUAUUCUGGUCUGUGGAAAGAAUGUAGGGCUGGAGAAUGUAUCGGUGUUUUUGAAUAUGGCGAUCCAAGUCAUUGGUUACGGUGUGUCCAGAUUGUCGUCUGCUUGUCGUUACCUUUGACCCUACUAUCCGCCAUCUUUCUUCUGCUAGCAUCAACAAGAACCAACACAAACUGUUCAACACCUGGUGGUUUCGCAAGCCUAACAGCUGGUUGCAUGCUGUUGCUGGGUGGUGGUUUCUAUGGCUACCAGCAGAAUGAUGCUUCAGCUAUUGGUUGGAGUCUUCUGGUGAGCGUUAUAAGUGGCUGUAUGUGUGUCUUCUGUAGUACCCGGAUGAUAAUAAACUGCAUCAAACGCGAGGACGAAAUCGAGGUACAGAAAGUGUUUAAACCUGGGCCAACCAAUUUAUAGAAUUUGCGCAACAACGCCCGUUUAUAGUUGAACGAACUGCAUAAUUUACGAAACGGCGUCUGUGUAAACCUGGAUUACGAAACGGAGUCUCUGUAAAUGUGGUAUAGUAAUUUAUAUAAAUUACGAAACUACCACUUUUAAAACUUAUUAAUAAAAUCUGCGAAACUAGAUUUGUGCAAAGUCCUUAAUUGGGCGGGAAAACUGAGAUGUGAAGAUUUUAUGACAUAUUUAUACAAAUAUUUUAAUAUACUUUAAAUAUAUACAUUAUAUAGGCUCUUUUACUUUUAGUCUCGAUUGCUCCAGGCAAUUAUCUGCUCUUCCACUGCAACCGUUACGUUCUAGGCAAAUGGUGCCAAUUUAAAUAUGGUUUUUCUAUAUUCAUGUACGUCUUACGAUUAGUUGACCCCCACCCUGUUAUCUGAACUGAAGUAUGCAGAAUGUAUUAGUGACUGGACUGAGACACGGCUUGAACUGUAUACUUCGGAACAGCCAGACGCUCAGUUAUCAUAUACGCAACUGGUGCUAAUUGGCCAGGUCAAUCAGUGUUCGUUGUAGUGGAAGCAGGGACAAUUGCUCUGAAGCAAUAUUGACAUCGAAUUCCAAUCAUUCAAUUGACUGCUCUUUAGUCGGUUGAUAUAGAAUUUUAAUAUUUUAAGCUGUUCAAAUUACGUCUAGACAUAUAUUUUAUUUUCCAUAGAAUUUUAUAUUAAAUUUGUUAUUAAAAA